rnacentral:lncRNA from 1 species
AAAAAAAAAAAAAAAAAAAAAAAAAAAAAAUCUUAGCAUAAGAAAUGACCACAAUAACAAACCUUCACUAUAGGAAACGAAUAAAUGUUAAAAAAACCGUCAAACUUACCUCCCGUGCAAUUGAACUAACAGGACGUGAACGCUCCCUGCCUCGUGUGAAAGGUACGAUGCAGAAUGAGCACAUAUUGUUGCAGCCGCGCAUGACUGAUACGAAAGCAGUCACAGAAUUCUUUGCAAUUCGCACCGGUGAGACGUCUGCGUACGUUUCUUCGAGAGACAACAGAGUGUUGAUACCAGUUUGACCUUCAUCGACAAGAGAGAGAAGGCGAGGAAGAUCCCUGUGAGCAACCAUCGCGUCAGCGGUCUUAGCAAGACAGCCACAGGAUGACGUUCCGCCAACAUUCCCAACGAAAGGAAAGGAAUAGUCAAAUCUUAGCUAAAACUCACAAUCAACAAACUACACUCACCUGUAAGCGUCAGGCCCACAAACUACGUCCACCAUUUUGUCAGCAACGAUCAGUUUCUCCUUCAAACGUUCAGCCAUGCAGCCCAGCACUGCAACCUUGGGAGGCUUGGCUGGACGGGUAGCACUUGUAGCAGGAUCACGAUUCCACCUGAAUAACAGAAUUUCAUAAAAGUAGAAUUAGGUGUUGAUACAAUCAUAAGGAUGUUACAAAGUUCACCGUCGCAACUAAAAAGAAGCAAAGUAAAGCUCUAGAAACCAAUUAAUUCACACACCGGGAUUUCAAGUGCUUGAAGUAAUUGAGCCGGUGCCAGAUUUUAUGUUCGGCGUUCUCUCUGAUUGCACACGUAUUGAUAAAGAUAAUGUCCGACUCUUCAGGUGUUUGAACAAUCUCUGUAUAUCCUGAGUCUUUCAUAAUAGCGAGCACUAUUUCCAUAUCAUUCACGUUCAUCUGGCACCCAUAAGUCUCCACGUACAACUUCCCACCGUCCACCCUUCGGGAUGAGUCCUCCAGGUAAGGCACAACUGUCGCCCUGGAUCCCACAUUCCCAACUCUUUCAGAAUACAGCAUCCAAAACAUGGAUACGAAUAGCACAUUUCUGUCCUCCAGAACAUACAUUCCUACAGAAUCACGGUCCCCAGUUCGAAUGUGAUACCGUUCUCGGGAAAAAUUAUACAAUCUACCAGAAACGCAACACUGUAAUUAAUCCACGGACGGUCGAGUUUCAAAAUUCCAGCAGAAUCAAUGUCCAAAUAGAGGUGUGAAUCUCUGAGAAAAUUUGGAGGGAAAAAGCUACAUACGAUGGGUCAACAUUGAACGGUGAGGACGACUGUAAGUCUUGCUUGAAGAGAUCUUGUAAACUUGUUCCUGCAGCUCUUGGAACCGCCAGCUUCUUUUUACCUUUCUGGGCCGGCAAAUGAGACGUUGAGAAUUGGGACGAUUGAAACGAAGAAGACGGCAAAGAACGAGACGUCGUGAGUCUGUUUCCAUGCCUCGGCAACAACAACCCCUGGUAAUCUUGGCUCACUCUCCGCAGCGUAGAAAACACUCUCUUGGAUGCGACCACGUUAUAUCCCACAUCAUUCCAAUUCAAAAAAUAACAGAUCUUGUAUUUCAUAGGCGCCAUCGUCGUAAGCUCCGACACGAUAGCGGCUGGCGCUUUGUUCAGCCGCAAGAGCUUCAUCUUUCACCUCACCUCCCCCUCCUGCUUACAAUACCACUCACAUGCACACACACACACACACCCAAUUCAAUUCCUCACCAGCUGACAAUGUUGCCCAGAAUCCCAUCUUCGCACUCAAACCGAAGUUCAAUCCCACGAUUUGAUCGAUGAUCGCCAAGUUGCAUCCCAACACCCAAAUAAAAUCCGAAAUCCAACCUAAAUCAGAAACCAGCCCAGACAAACCACAAAUCCGAAAUAGCAACUAAGGCCUGCCAUCAACAACAGGGCCGCUAAAAUCCACCCCCCAUUAGCGUGUUACACCAUUAUUCAGCAUGCACUCACCGGCUGGGAGACUGAAAUUUUAGUGCGAGGCGCUAGUGCAGGCUAGAAUUCAACCCUCAUUAAGUCCAGAGAUCGAAGGGAAAAGUGAGGAAAUGGGAGAAAAGACCGUCUGCUUGGAAACAGAGGCUAAAUUCGGAUGGAGGUGGCAUAAGGCCCUUAAACCCUAAAACAUUGGUGGGGGAAGUCGAGUUGAUAAGAAGAUAAUGUCGACGGAUGGACUUGGACGAACGAACAAAUGAACGAACGAUAAAGUCCCAGGAGGGCAGCGGUCGUCGGACGACGUCAAUAAAACGGGGCUACUCCGUCGGCGUUUUUUCGUGAAUCCUCAGUUAGAACGUGUGGCUGAGAAUGCGUCCCUUGGGAAGGGGGUGACAUCAAGGAUAGAACCACCUUGCUCCACUAAUGAAGGGUAAAAUUCGUGCCCACAAUGCAUGGCUUCAAGGAUUCUACGUGAAUACUUAGUAGGAGAAAAUAGCAAUUCCAGUGUAAUGGAUUAUCAAAGUCUAGAAAUAAUACAUAUAAUUAUUUGAUUGGCAUGGUCUGUUUCAUCUACAUAGAAGUAAUAAAAAAUAAAUAAAAAUAAAAAUAAAAAUAAAAACUUGUGUAGAUAAGUUUUCACAAAUUUUGUGCUACUUUGUUUGAUUUUUUUCUUUUUUCUUUUUUGUGAUAUGUAUAGAUUAUAUCUAUCACUUGAUAGAAUUAAAAUUGUCCUCCAGUUUCUUUCUACGUCUUUUUGUUUAUAUUAUAUCACUUUUUAUUACAGUUUGUAAAUGCAAGAGAGGUAGUACAAAGAUAAUAUAUAGGCAAUACUUGAAACAUCACACAACCCAUAGUUUUAUGUAUUUACUUUCAAUUUUUCUCAACUAUUUCUUAGUCACACACCUCAAUCACCAAAAUAAUUCUAAUAGCUAUAACGUUCAUGUUUUAAUAAUCUGCAUUUGCUUUAUUUUAUUUUAUUUUGCAUAUAUCAAAUUUAUGUUCAAGGGGUGACACAAUUUAAGAUAUUUAGACUUUAAUUAACAAGGAAAAAUUACAUAUUAAUGUUGGAGGUUGAGUUAGUAACGUUAAGGUUAGUUGAAAAACCUUUAGUUUGCAAGGUGUCAAAGAUAUACUUAAGGUUUUUAACUUGCAAAGUCUCAUCUGCGUACAAUAACGGCAAGUCCAUUUUUCUAGCUGAAAUUAUACUUUAGCGAGCCAGGCAUCAAGGUCCAGCUUAAUGUACCACACGAAAGUAAAUAAAAAUAAAAAACAAAACAAAACAAACAAACAAAUUACAAAAAAUAUCAAGAAAACGAGUCGAGGAGGCCUCCGAAUCGCACAUACUUGAGAUGUGUGGUUUUUAUGAACACAUAUGAAGUAACAGGAAUACCUCCUUCACAAUACCAAACAAGGACCAAGUGCUACUUCUUUACAAGCAGGUCUAUGGAACAAUGUCUAUAGCUGCGAUUGGAAGCAGCACGUCUCGAGUUUCCAACUCUCGCGUAGGUAUCCCUGGAGAAAUGUGCCAAAAACCCAGAGCACUUCAAAAAUUCGCUGAGCUGUGGAUAACUCUGGACACAAGCAAACCACAUGACUUGACAAUACAAAAAUUCUUUGCAUCUUCCAGUGGAAAAAACAUUUCCGACAUAAAUUAAGAAGAAAUAACUGAUAAGCCCCUUACAAGUCCUAAAUGAACAUAUUAAGCACAACACGUGCUAAAUUCUUAAGAUUCCACAAGCGUUCCUCAAACGAAAAACAUUUAUCUACACUACGCGGCAUCUCAUAGUCCUGUGCAUACAACAAGGAAGCACUUAAAAGUACGAGAGGCAGACAUGUGAAAGCAUAUCUUUGCGGAAAGGAUUUUGACCGACCUCAUGGCGUCUGCCAAAGUCUAGUUGUGUGAGUGGUGAGGCCGGGAUGGAGGUGGCGGUGGAUUGCCAUGUGAUGCGUUAGCUGGUCCAUGACUUGCUGGUCCAGCAGGAGCCGAAUGUUCAGGGCCUGAGUCCCCGCCACCAAAUAGCCAUGGUAGACACAUGCUUCCCACUUACCUGCUCAUCAACAACCAACUCGUGUCUUCAAAGGAGCUAAUGAAAUUAAGCCUCAGGAAACUCACGGGUGCAAUAGGACACAUAUUUGUGCCCUCAAGGGCUGAACAGAAAAGAUUCGACGACAAUCAUAACCGGCUAACAUUGAAUUACAACUACGACCCUACCGUGAUCACGGCUCCGGCGCGAUAUCUUGGCCAGUCAGCUUGACGACUUCAUUUUCUCACAACGAGAUGUUAACAUGAUUGAUAGUAAAAGAUUUGCAACGAUUUUUCCUACCUAUGAUGGUCAGGAACGCAAAGAAUCUAACUCUAUACCUUACAACCAGUAACCGAGACGACCUUUCACGGCUAUGUUGCACUUUGCUUCAGCAAUACCACCAACCCUCGCGACAAUCUGAGACAAACCUCACAAAACUGCACAAAGUCACAAUACUAGAUCGAAUUGGGGAUACUGAUGACAGAAAGAGCCACUAUUAACCCUAAGCUCCAAUCUCUCAUCACUUUCUAAAACACAAAGUUCGAAUGAUUUCCACGACAUUCAAUCGACCAAAGACAUACUUUCAAAAUUGUUCACCAGGAAAUUGCACCAGAGAUCUCACGCAGACGCAAUACAGAGCCGUGAUAGAAAACAGGAGCUAGAAAUUUGAGUAACAUACUUGAUUAAUACAACCCUGUUAAGAUUAAAGCUCGCCACUGCUUCACUUGCUAACUUCCGAUCCAAUUCACAACGGGCUACACCGCAAGAACAAUCUCACCACUGAUUCAACAAAGGGCGUGUUGAGUCCCCUCCCCCUCAUCUGCUGAAUCCCAAUGCACCCAAGAGGCUGACACGUUGAUCCCCACGUGGUUGGAAGCAAUGAGACAAGGCCGCGAGAGAGACGACGAAGGAAAGAAAACUGCGGAAAGAAGCCGUGCCGCAAAGAAAUGGAAAGGAAAGUAAAGGAGGAGGGAGUGGCUAUGGCAAGGUAAAUAUUACAGCGACUCUUCAAUGAGCAGUUUGGUCGAGGAUUGGACUCUUUACUGUUGCAGGCUUUCUUUGUUGUUAGGAAAAGGCAGGCGCUGUGUUGGGUGCGCUCUAAUGACU